rnacentral:lncRNA from 1 species
CAAUAUGCUUAAAGAAGUAUCUGGACAAAGAGUUGUCCACGGAUCAGUAUUUAUUUAUGUUACCAAUAACUGUUAGGUGAGGUGCACGACAUCAAUGAGACCGCAGCACCUACUAGAAACUCAAUUAUCGCGUUAGAAUUUUUGUUUCUCCACCUGAAGAGUGUAGGAGUUCUAAUAAAAUAGUGAGAGUCUCUUUUUGCAUCUAAAAGUCUCUAGAGUAAAAUUAUCUAAUAAAUAUAAACACUCAAUUAGAAUCUUUACUCUCUGCUAUUCAUUGUGUCAGCUUCCAACCCUCUAGCU